GGAAAUUCAUUGAAGAUGGACUAAACUUAAGUCACACUUAAAUUCAGAGGAAUCCAAAAAGUACAGACAAAGUCUGGGAAGACAAAAUAGAGGAAAGUAAAUAAAGAAGAGUGCAUUGGGUUCUACAUUUCUCUUUUCAUUUUGGAAUCUGAGCAGAAUUGCAGACCAGCAAAUUAAAAGAGGCUGAAGGCAAUUUGACCAGCAUCUUCUAUGUUCAGUCCACAGAGGUUGAUGAAGCACCAAGUCUCCAAGGUUGAGCUUCAAGAUAAUAUGAUGAUGUUGCAUUCAAGAGGGCUCUUUAGAAAAAGAAGGAAAAGUAUGAACUAUGAACAAGAAGAAAGUGAUGGCACCCUGGAAUUUCUACAGAAUCACUUGCUGAGCUGAUAAAAUCUAUUAACCUGUUUUGGGAUCCACAAAGUCAUUGAAGCUGCACCUGCUAACAUCGGGUCCAAAUUUGGCCUACAAGCUUCUCAGUGUUUCAUAAGUAUAAAUUCUAUGUUCGUUCAUGAAGCAUUAUAAAAGCCUGAUGUCUGAAAAAUAUUAUUAACCUCUUGUAAUAGCUAAGAUAAAAGAAUAAAUCUAGUUGUAUCUACUCUUAACUAUAAUAA
rnacentral:lncRNA from 1 species